ACGGACAUAGUUUAAUGGUAAGAACGGAGGUCUCCAAAACUUUCAGUGUAGGUUCGAUUCCUACUGUCCGUG
rnacentral:tRNA from 1 species